GACGAAGGAUGCAAGCGUUAUCCGGAUUCAUUGGGUUUAAAGGGAGCGUAGGUGGCCUUAUAAGUCAGUGGCGAAAUCUCUGGGCUUAACCCAGAAAUUGCCAUUGAUACUGUAGGGCUUGAGUAUAGAUGCCGUUGGCGGAAUAUGACAUGUAGUGGUGAAAUACAUAGAGAUGUCAUAGAACACCGAUUGCGAAGGCAGCUAACGAAACUAUAACUGACACUGAGGCUCGAAAGUGUGGGGAUCAAACAGG
rnacentral:rRNA from 1 species